AGCUUUGUGCAGUGGCAGUAUCUUAGCCAGUGAGCUUUAUCCAAGGUGCGAUUGUUGCUAACUGAAAGGAAAAAAAAUAGCUAAACAUUCUAGCUUUGAUUUUUCUGAAAGGAAAUAUGCCUAUUUUUUUUCACAAUUUGUGGAGAUUUUUCUUUGGA
rnacentral:snRNA from 1 species